CUCAGGCAUAUCAGGUGUAUUUGACAUAACUGAAAAAUAUAAGGUAGUGUAAUCAGUCACUCUGUAAUGAAUGGGUGGGUACUGGUAAGGCUAGCUAAAUACCAAGCGGUGAAACAAUUACACUUCAUGAUAGUGACAGAUGAGUCCCUACUAAUUGCCAAGCGGCUUGAGAGGCACUACCUAUGCGUGGGCCCGAGGGGGAAAGUAUGAGGCCACCGAACGUUAUGGAGGGGUGUUGGCCUCUCGGUGGCAGUUUAAAGCAUAAGAUAGAAUGGGAGUGAUAAGUGAGGCCCUCUCUAUGCAACCAUGCGAGACGGCUAGCUGAUUUGGCCCGAGGGACGUAUUCCUCCGAGUAUGAGGAUGGGGGGUGUUGGUCUCGCUGGACCACUAGCCUACGGAUUAAGACCAGAAUUUUUUUUUUUUUUACCUAAUUGGGUCACGUAACCUAGGACCAGUACCAAUCAGAACAUGGAAAAUAAUCGGUUCUGGCUUAGUACCGGAUAUGUGAGUCAGGCUGAGCUGUCAAAGUAGAGGUAACCAGCGACUGUAAGAG